CCGACCUUAGCUCAGUUGGUAGAGCGGAGGACUGUAGUAUGUCUGCUGAAAUCCUUAGGUCACUGGUUCGAAUCCGGUAGGUCGGA
rfam:Nicotiana attenuata strain TT scaffold05704, whole genome shotgun sequence.